rnacentral:rRNA from 1 species
UUAAGCGACUAAGCGUACACGGUGGAUGCCCUGGCAGUCAGAGGCGAUGAAGGGCGUGCUAAUCUGCGAUAAGCGCCGGUAAGGUGAUAUGAACCGUUAUAACCGGCGAUACCCGAAUGGGGAAACCCAGUGUGACUCGUCACACUAUCAUUAACUGAAUCCAUAGGUUAAUGAGGCGAACCGGGGGAACUGAAACAUCUAAGUACCCCGAGGAAAAGAAAUCAACCGAGAUUCCCCCAGUAGCGGCGAGCGAACGGGGAGGAGCCCAGAGCCUGAAUCAGCAUGUGUGUUAGUGGAAGCGUCUGGAAAGGCGCGCGAUACAGGGUGACAGCCCCGUACACAAAAGCGCAUGUGCUGUGAGCUCGAUGAGUAGGGCGGGACACGUGGUAUCCUGUCUGAAUAUGGGGGGACCAUCCUCCAAGGCUAAAUACUCCUGACUGACCGAUAGUGAACCAGUACCGUGAGGGAAAGGCGAAAAGAACCCCGGCGAGGGGAGUGAAAAAGAACCUGAAACCGUGUACGUACAAGCAGUGGGAGCACCCUUUGGGGUGUGACUGCGUACCUUUUGUAUAAUGGGUCAGCGACUUAUAUUCUGUAGCAAGGUUAACCGAAUAGGGGAGCCGGAGGGAAACCGAGUCUUAACCGGGCGUUAAGUUGCAGGGUAUAGACCCGAAACCCGGUGAUCUAGCCAUGGGCAGGUUGAAGGUUGGGUAACACUAACUGGAGGACCGAACCGACUAAUGUUGAAAAAUUAGCGGAUGACCUGUGGCUGGGGGUGAAAGGCCAAUCAAACCGGGAGAUAGCUGGUUCUCCCCGAAAGCUAUUUAGGUAGCGCCUCGUGAAUUCAUCUCCGGGGGUAGAGCACUGUUUCGGCUAGGGGGCCAUCCCGGCUUACCAACCCGAUGCAAACUGCGAAUACCGGAGAAUGUUAUCACGGGAGACACACGGCGGGUGCUAACGUCCGUCGUGAAGAGGGAAACAACCCAGACCGCCAGCUAAGGUCCCAAAGUCAUGGUUAAGUGGGAAACGAUGUGGGAAGGCCCAGACAGCCAGGAUGUUGGCUUAGAAGCAGCCAUCAUUUAAAGAAAGCGUAAUAGCUCACUGGUCGAGUCGGCCUGCGCGGAAGAUGUAACGGGGCUAAACCAUGCACCGAAGCUGCGGCAGCGACGCUGAUGCGUUGUUGGGUAGGGGAGCGUUCUGUAAGCCUGCGAAGGUGGCCUGUGAGGGUUGCUGGAGGUAUCAGAAGUGCGAAUGCUGACAUAAGUAACGAUAAAGCGGGUGAAAAGCCCGCUCGCCGGAAGACCAAGGGUUCCUGUCCAACGUUAAUCGGGGCAGGGUGAGUCGACCCCUAAGGCGAGGCCGAAAGGCGUAGUCGAUGGGAAACGGGUUAAUAUUCCCGUACUUGGUGUUACUGCGAAGGGGGGACGGAGAAGGCUAUGUUGGCCGGGCGACGGUUGUCCCGGUUUAAGCGUGUAGGUGUGUGUUCCAGGUAAAUCCGGUUCACUUUAACACUGAGGCGUGACGACGAGGCACUACGGUGCUGAAGCAACAAAUGCCCUGCUUCCAGGAAAAGCCUCUAAGCAUCAGGUAACAUCAAAUCGUACCCCAAACCGACACAGGUGGUCAGGUAGAGAAUACCAAGGCGCUUGAGAGAACUCGGGUGAAGGAACUAGGCAAAAUGGUGCCGUAACUUCGGGAGAAGGCACGCUGACACGUAGGUGAAGUGAUUUACUCAUGGAGCUGAAGUCAGUCGAAGAUACCAGCUGGCUGCAACUGUUUAUUAAAAACACAGCACUGUGCAAACACGAAAGUGGACGUAUACGGUGUGACGCCUGCCCGGUGCCGGAAGGUUAAUUGAUGGGGUCAGCGCAAGCGAAGCUCCUGAUCGAAGCCCCGGUAAACGGCGGCCGUAACUAUAACGGUCCUAAGGUAGCGAAAUUCCUUGUCGGGUAAGUUCCGACCUGCACGAAUGGCGUAAUGAUGGCCAGGCUGUCUCCACCCGAGACUCAGUGAAAUUGAACUCGCUGUGAAGAUGCAGUGUACCCGCGGCAAGACGGAAAGACCCCGUGAACCUUUACUAUAGCUUGACACUGAACAUUGAGCCUUGAUGUGUAGGAUAGGUGGGAGGCUUUGAAGUGUGGACGCCAGUCUGCAUGGAGCCGACCUUGAAAUACCACCCUUUAAUGUUUGAUGUUCUAACGUGGACCCGUGAUCCGGGUUGCGGACAGUGUCUGGUGGGUAGUUUGACUGGGGCGGUCUCCUCCUAAAGAGUAACGGAGGAGCACGAAGGUUGGCUAAUCCUGGUCGGACAUCAGGAGGUUAGUGCAAUGGCAUAAGCCAGCUUGACUGCGAGCGUGACGGCGCGAGCAGGUGCGAAAGCAGGUCAUAGUGAUCCGGUGGUUCUGAAUGGAAGGGCCAUCGCUCAACGGAUAAAAGGUACUCCGGGGAUAACAGGCUGAUACCGCCCAAGAGUUCAUAUCGACGGCGGUGUUUGGCACCUCGAUGUCGGCUCAUCACAUCCUGGGGCUGAAGUAGGUCCCAAGGGUAUGGCUGUUCGCCAUUUAAAGUGGUACGCGAGCUGGGUUUAGAACGUCGUGAGACAGUUCGGUCCCUAUCUGCCGUGGGCGCUGGAGAACUGAGGGGGGCUGCUCCUAGUACGAGAGGACCGGAGUGGACGCAUCACUGGUGUUCGGGUUGUCAUGCCAAUGGCACUGCCCGGUAGCUAAAUGCGGAAGAGAUAAGUGCUGAAAGCAUCUAAGCACGAAACUUGCCCCGAGAUGAGUUCUCCCUGAGACUUAGAGUCUCCUGAAGGAACGUUGAAGACGACGACGUUGAUAGGCCGGGUGUGUAAGCGCAGCGAUGCGUUGAGCUAACCGGUACUAAUGAACCGUGAGGCUUAACCUU